rnacentral:rRNA from 1 species
UUAAGCUAUAAAGAGCACAGGGCGGAUGCCUAGGCACUGAGAGCCGACGAAGGACGUGACAAGCUGCGAUAAGCUGCGGGGAGAAGCAAAUAUUCUGUGAGCCGCAGAUUUCCGAAUGGGGGAACCCACGUGAGCAAACCUCACGUAUCCAUACGCCAAUCCAUAACGUAUGGAAGGGAACCCGGGGAACUGAAACAUCUAAGUACCCGGAGGAAGAGAAAGAAACAUCGAUUUCCUUAGUAGCGGCGAGCGAAAGGGAAAGAGCCCAAACCGAGGGUCUACGGACGUUCGGGGUUCGGACUUGCAAAAAUCGAAGUACUUAUAGACGAAGAGGUUUGGAACUUCCUACCAAAGAGGGUAACAGUCCCGUAGUCGAAAUGAGUACAAGAGGGCGAGAAUCCAGAGUACCACAGGACACGAGUAAUCCGGUGGGAAGACGGGGGGCCCACCCCCCAAGGCUAAAUACUACUUGGUGACCGAUAGCGUAUAGUACCGUGAGGGAAAGGUGAAAAGAACCCCGGGAGGGGAGUGAAAGAGUACCUGAAACCCUAUGUUUACAAGCAGUGGGAGCGAGAGCGACCAUGUACUUUUUGUAGAACGGGCCGGCGAGUUACUGUGUGCAGCGAGGUUAAGUUGUUAAGCAACGGAGCCGAAGGGAUACCGAGUCUGAAAAGGGCGUAAAGUUGCAUGCAGUACACCCGAAACCGGGUGACCUAUCCAUGGACAGGAUGAAGCGACGGUAAGACGUCGUGGAGGUCCGAACCACACGUACGUGAAAAGUGCGGGGAUGAGCUGUGGAUAGCGGAGAAAUUCCAAUCGAACUCGGAGAUAGCUGGUUCUCCCCGAAAUAGCUUUAGGGCUAGCCUCGAUUUAGAUUACCGGGGGUAGAGCACUGAAUGGGCUAGGGGGCCACAAAGCUUACCGAACCCUAUCAAACUUCGAAUACCGGAUAAUUGAUGAUCGGGAGUCAGACAGUGUGAGAUAAGUUUCAUUGUCGAAAGGGAAACAGCCCAGAUCUACGACUAAGGUCCCAAAGUUCAAGUUAAGUGGAAAAGGAUGUGCAAUUGCGCAGACAACCAGGAUGUUGGCUUAGUAGCAGCCAUUCAUUCAAAGAGUGCGUAAUAGCUCACUGGUCGAGUGAUUGUGCGCCGAAAAUGUAACGGGGCUAAACUUGACACCGAAGUCUAGGCAGAAGGAAACUUCUGGGUAGGGGAGCAACGUGUACGGGCAGAAGCAGAAGCGGAAGCGACUGUGGACUGUACAGGAGAGAGAAUGCCGGCAUGAGUAGCGAGAGCAAAGUGAGAAUCUUUGCCGUCGAAAGCCUAAGGUUUCCUGAGGAAGGCUCGUCCUCUCAGGGUAAGUCGGGACCUAAGCCGAGGACAAUAGUCGUAGGCGAUGGACAAUCGGUUAAUAUUCCGAUACCGCCGAGCAACCGGAUGCAGUGACACAGAAGGAUAGGCAGAGCGUGGCGAUGGUAGACCACGUCCAAGCAGUGAGGCUGUUGUGUAGUGAAGUACGCACAACGUAAGGCUGGGCUGUGAUGGGGAACGAUUACGAUCGGUAAGCUGCUGAAUUCACGCUGGCGAGAAAAGCUGCUACGAAGCGAAGGCGCCCGUACCGCAAACCGACACAGGUAGGCGAGGAGAGAAUCCUAAGACGAGCGGGAGAACCCUUGUUAAGGAACUCGGCAAAAUGACUCCGUAACUUAGGGAGAAGGAGUGCCCAGGAAUGGGCCGCAGAGAAUAGACCCAAGCGACUGUUUACCAAAAACACAGGUCUGUGCGAAGUAGAGAUACGACGUAUACGGGCUGACACCUGCCCAGUGCCGGAAGGUUAAGGGGAAAUGUUAGGGCAACCGAAGCAUGGAACUUAAGCCCCGGUGAACGGCGGCCGUAACUAUAACGGUCCUAAGGUAGCGAAAUUCCUUGUCGGGUAAG